ensembl:rRNA 5S_rRNA 5S ribosomal RNA
GCCAACAGCCAUAUCACUCUGCAACUCACAACUAGACACCCACUGAAGCUCAGCAGGUGUGAGCCUGGUCAGUACCUGGAUGGGAGACCUCCUGGGAAAAACUAAGGUUGCUGCUGGAA